ACAUUAAACAUUUUUUUUUUUGUUGUUUUUUUCACACUACUUAUCUUAGGAACUAUUUUUUAUAAUUUAACCCCUAACUAUUACUUUUCACUUUUUAAAUUCUCAUGUAAUUUAACAGCACAAUAUUAAAUGCUAUUAAAUGAAAUUAUGAAAUGGAUGUUAUACAUGUGCAUUAUUCUAUUUAUGUAUUUGGUUGUUUCCAGGUAAUUAAGAACCAAUCUGACCUCAUUGAUAAAAGACGAGUGUUUUACUCAGACAUAAGAGAUGACAAUCCAUUGAAUUCCAUUGUGUCAAAAGUGAAAAUUGUGCAACUUGCGGCAAAAGCUGACUUGGCUGAAAAAGAGAAUACUUUUGUCUUCAGACUUGUAUUAUGAUAUGGCAUAUUCAUUGCCACACUUUUCGUUUACAACUCUAGAUACAGCUACAGCAAAUCCAGAAAACUUAAAGAUGGAGAGUGAUGCAUCCUCAAUAAGUGAAGCUAGUUCAAAUAGUGCACUAGGAGACAACUGACGCUGCAAAGUCUUCCCAAGUUUCUA